CCGAACCGGUUCGACGGAAUGGCGAAAACUGUGGCAUGAACCGGAUUAGAUUAAGGGGGCAGUGAGUGCCAGCAUCAUAUGCUGGCUGUCCAGAUGUGUAAAAUACAUCUGUUAGCAAGGGCCGGGCAAGACCGGUGCCAGCCGCCGCGGUAACACCGGCGGCCCGAGUGGUGAUCGUGAUUAUUGGGUCUAAAGGGUCCGUAGCCGGUUUGGUCAGUCCUCCGGGAAAUCUGACAGCUCAACUGUUAGGCUUUCGGGGGAUACUGCCAGACUUGGAACCGGGAGAGGUAAGAGGUACUACAGGGGUAGGAGUGAAAUCUUGUAAUCCCUGUGGGACCACCUGUGGCGAAGGCGUCUUACCAGAACGGGUUCGACGGUGAGGGACGAAAGCUGGGGGCACGAACCGGAUUAGAUACCCGGGUAGUCCCAGCCGUAAACGAUGCUCGCUAGGUGUCAG
rnacentral:rRNA from 1 species